GAAAUGCGAUAAGUAGUGUGAAUUGCAGAAUUCAGUGAAUUAUCGAAUCUUUGAACGUACAUUGCGCCCUUUGGUAUUCCUUAGGGCAUGCCUGUUCGAGCGUCAUCUAAACCUUUAAGCACUGCUUGGUGUUGGGUGCCUGUCCCGCCCCUGCGCGUGGACUCACCUUAAAUCUAUUGGCGGCCCUUACGUCGGCUUUGAGCGCAGUAGAAACGCGAACUCGAGGCCUGUUGGAGCGGCUCCUAGAAGCUAUAUUCACUAUUUUGACCUCGGAUCAGGUAGGGAUACCUGCUGAACUUAA
rnacentral:misc_RNA from 1 species